rnacentral:rRNA from 1 species
UACGGAGGGUGCGAGCGUUGUCCGGAAUCAUUGGGCGUAAAGGGCGCGUAGGUGGCGGCUUAAGCGUGCGGUGAAAGCUCGGGGCUCAACCCCGAGUCGGCCGUGCGAACUGAGUCGCUUGAGCACUGUAGAGGCAGGCGGAAUUCCGGGUGUAGCGGUGGAAUGCGUAGAGAUCCGGAAGAACACCGGUGGCGAAGGCGGCCUGCUGGGCAGUAGCUGACACUGAGGCGCGACAGCGUGGGGAGCAAACAGGG